GACGAACGCUGGCGGCGUGCCUAAUACAUGCAAGUCGAACGCUUCUUUCCUCCCGAGUGCUUGCACUCAAUUGGAAAGAGGAGUGGCGGACGGGUGAGUAACACGUGGGUAACCUACCCAUCAGAGGGGGAUAACACUUGGAAACAGGUGCUAAUACCGCCUAACAGUUUAUGCCGCAUGGCAUAAGAGUGAAAGGCGCUUUCGGGUGUCGCUGAUGGAUGGACCCGCGGUGCUUUAACUAGUUGGUGAGGUAACGGCUCACCAAGGCCACGAUGCAUAGCCGACAUGAGAGGGUGAUCGGCCACACUGGGACUGAGACACGGCCCAGACUCCUACGGGAGGCAGCAGUAGGGAAUCUUCGGCAAUGGACGAAAGUCUGACCGAGCAACGCCGCGUGAGUGAAGAAGGUGUUCGGAUCGUAAAACUCUGUUGUUAGAGAAGAACAAGGACGUUAGUAACUGAACGUCCCCUGACGGUAUCUAACCAGAAAGCCACGGCUAACUACGUG
rnacentral:rRNA from 1 species